AUGAACGCUGGCGGCGUGCCUAAUACAUGCAAGUCGAGCGAACAGACGAGGAGCUUGCUCCUCUGACGUUAGCGGCGGCCGGGUGAGUAACACGUGGAUAACCUACCUAUAAGACUGGGAUAACUUCGGGAAACCGGAGCUAAUACCGGAUAAUAUAUUGAACCGCAUGGUUCCAUAGUGAAAGACGGUUUUGCUGUCACUUAUAGAUGGAUCCGCGCCGCAUUAGCUAGUUGGUAAGGUAACGGCUUACCAAGGCGACGAUGCGUAGCCGACCUGAGAGGGUGAUCGGCCACACUGGAACUGAGACACGGUCCAGACUCCUACGGGAGGCAGCAGUAGGGAAUCUUCCGCAAUGGGCGAAAGCCUGACGGAGCAACGCCGCGUGAGUGAUGAAGGUCUUCGGAUCGUGAAACUCUGUUAUUAGGGAAGAACAAAUGUGUAAGUAACUAUGCACGUCUUGACGGUACCUAAUCAGAAAGCCACGGCUAACUACGUG
rnacentral:rRNA from 1 species